rnacentral:rRNA from 1 species
CGCGGCCUAUCAGCUUGUUGGUGGGGUAACGGCCCACCAAGGCAUCGACGGGUAGCUGGUCUGAGAGGACGAUCAGCCACACUGGGACUGAGACACGGCCCAGACUCCUACGGGAGGCAGCAGUGGGGAAUAUUGCACAAUGGGCGAAAGCCUGACGCAGCAACGCCGCGUGGGGGAUGACGGCCUUCGGGUUGUAAACCCCUUUCAGCAGGGACGAAAAUGACGGUACCUGCAGAAGAAGCCCCGGCCAACUGCGUGCCAGCAGCCGCGGUAACACGUAGGGGGCAAGCGUUGUCCGGAUUUAUUGGGCGUAAAGAGCUCGUAGGCGGUUGCGUAAGUCGGAUGUGAAAACUCAGGGCUCAACCCGGAGACGCCAUCCGAUACUGCGCUGACUAGAGUCCGGUAGAGGAGCAUGGAAUUCCUGGUGUAGCGGUGAAAUGCGCAGAUAUCAGGAGGAACACCAGUGGCGAAGGCGGUGCUCUGGGCCGGUACUGACGCUGAGGAGCGAAAGCGUGGGUAGCGAACAGGAUUAGAUACCCUGGUAGUCCACGCCGUAAACGUUGGGCACUAGGUGUGGGGCCUCCUUAACGGGUUCCGUGCCGUAGCUAACGCAUUAAGUGCCCCGCCUGGGGAGUACGG